rnacentral:rRNA from 1 species
AACGAACGCUGGCGGCAGGCUUAACACAUGCAAGUCGAACGCCCCGCAAGGGGAGUGGCAGACGGGUGAGUAACGCGUGGGAAUCUACCCAGAUCUACGGAACAACAGAGGGAAACCUCUGCUAAUACCGUAUACGCCCUACGGGGGAAAGAUUUAUCGGAUUUGGAUGAGCCUGCGUAAGAUUAGCUAGUUGGUGGGGUAAUGGCCUACCAAGGCGACGAUCUUUAGCUGGUCUGAGAGGAUGAUCAGCCACACUGGGACUGAGACACGGCCCAGACUCCUACGGGAGGCAGCAGUGGGGAAUAUUGGACAAUGGGCGCAAGCCUGAUCCAGCCAUGCCGCGUGAGUGAUGAAGGCCUUAGGGUUGUAAAGCUCUUUCACCGAUGAAGAUAAUGACGGUAGUCGGAGAAGAAGCCCCGGCUAACUUCGUGCCAGCCGCCGCCGUAA